CACUAAAAGACUAGAGAGCAGAAUCUCCCUCUCUUAUCCUAUUGAUCAUUGCUGAUGGCUCAGAGAGGGCAGGCUCGGGGGUCUGGAGAGAAAAGAUCCUGACCUUAGCCAUUCCUCAGACUGCAGAUCACCAAGGCAAUGAUACAGUGUAUCUGUAUCCUAUUCACACCCUUCCUGCAGUAUCUCACAUGCAUAGCACCUCAAUAGAUGUGGCUGCCUAGUGUAGCUCUUAUGCUGCUACACAAAUCAUCUCGUUAUUCUUUUCAUUACCCCUAGUGCUACCCAACAUACAUUGAUUUACAGCUGCAUCCUGGUAGGAGAUUUUAUUUUUCAAUGAAUUCCUGAAGACUUUAAAAAAAAAAAAAAUGGACUUACAGCAUGCUUGCAGGU